UUCUGACCAAAAUAAUAACAAACAACAACACAUAUGUAUGUAUCAAUAUUUAGUACACUCCAUCACCAGAAAUUCAAUCAUUUUCCCAAGGCUGACAGCUAGUGUCGGUUAAUGAAGUUAAUUACCAGACUGGUUCCAAGAAAAGAGGGUCUUCAUCGUUGUCAUCGUUGUCGUCUUGAUUUUUCAUUGAAAAAGAACCACCGCCAUGGCACUGUACGCACAGAGAGGGUCGACGACGACGCUUGGUCGAGAGCGGCUGCGGAGGGAGGUAGCUAUUAUUAUUAAUUGUGGUGUGAAAAGAGGCGGCAGCGUUGAGAUUUCUGGAGUUUGAUGAGAUUGAGAAUGAGGUAGGGAAAUGAAUGAAAUUUUGUAACGAAGAGAGAGCUGCCAUCAUGAGAGAAAUUAUUUGAAGUUGGUUGUGUUUAUCAUAAUAUGGGUAUGAAGAGAUGGAAAUUAAAAAAGAACAAAUAUAUAUAUAUAUAUAUAUAUAUAUAUAUAUAUGCUUUUCCCUCC